AUGAUAUCCCAUCUUCUCAUGCUGGCACCACGACUGGGUUGGCAGCAAUGCCCCUCCGUGCCCACCUGUGCCCUGCAAUGCUACACAGUACACACACACAGAGCCUCCUUGUUGUGGAUUGCAAGCAGAGGAAGCCACAAAAGCCUGGAGAGGGAUCCCAAAAGGAGGGGAAGAGCACCACCACCAUGCCCACCACCUCCCUUUCUUUACCUGGAGCCGCCUCCGGCGAAUGAUCCCGGAGUCGUCCAUGGCUGCUGCUUCCCGGCGCCGCAGAGAGGAGCUCGCCCCAUGGACUCGCCGCGAAGCGUGGCUCCCGCAAGGCCCCGGCAGCCCAAGAGGAGGAAGGCAGUCUUGAAUAACUGUGGCACUCCAGAUAUCUUUGGACUAUAGAAGCUAUGGCUGGCUAGAACACAUGAGUCUGUGAAACCAAAAACAUAGGUAAGAUCACCAAGGUAAGAAUACUUUGGACUGCACGAAAUGAUUUGGCUACCAUGAACGUGAAUCCCAUAAAGUAAGGUUUUGUAACAUCGCCAUCAACAAAAUCCUAGCAACUGCUGCCUUUUGCAGUUGUUAAAGGUUCAGGAGCAAUCCUACAUAAAACAUCUUCCUGUACUCCAGUCAGGAUAUAUCUAAGGACCCUUCCACACAACUGUAUAAAAUCCAUUUAACUGGAUUGUCUGGCAGUGGGGACUCAGAUGAUCCAGUUCAAAGCAGAUAUUGUGAAUUAUCUGCCUUGAUAUUCUGGGUUAUAUGGCUGCGUGGAAGGGCCAUAAACCAUCUACAACCAUGGUUGAGUCUAAAUGUGCGAAAGGCACUCCUGGCCACCACAGAUGCUUCAGCACCUAAAGGCAUGACCAGUUCUUGGCAUGCUUCUAAGCCACAAACCUGAUCUUCUGAGAGGAGUGCAACCCUAUACAUGGAUGAAUAGACUUCCUCACUAAUAGCACCUCAAUCUUGUCUGGAUAUAAUUUCAGUUCGUUUACCCUUAUUUGGGUGGGGUUUUGUUUUUUUGGGAGUUUUUUUUACCACCCAUCACUGACUUCAAACACUGAUUCAGACCCUCAAGGACUUUUAGAAUACAAUGGAAAAAAGAGCCAGAAGUGAAUAUCAUUAUGGUGUCACUAAUAGAGCAUUAUUUCUGAAUAUUUUCUCCCAGCAGUUUUACCCUGUUUUCCCGAAAAUAAGACAUCCUCUGAAAAUAAGACCUAGUAGAGGUUUUGCUGAAUUGCUAAAUAUAAGGCCUCCCCUGAAAGUAAGACCUAGAAAGGUUUUUGUUUGGAAGCAUGCCUGCCAAACAUAACAACAGAGCAUGCAGGAUUGGUAAAUAUAUAUACCAUAGAUGGUUGUACAUGGAAAUAGUGGUAGUAACAAGAAGAUAGGAUUCACAGUUUCUGUGGUUAUGCUGGUUUGUGAUGACAACUACUGAACAGUAUAUAACAAAUAUUCAUUUUUGUUCAACAAUAAAUGUGAAUUCUUCUUCAUGGAAAAAUAAGACAUCCCCUAAAACUAAGACCUAGCACAUCUUUGGGAUCAAAAAUUAAUAUAAGAUACUGUCUUAUUUUCAGGGAAACACAGUAUUCAAGACUGGGAAACUCUGGAUGGUUCGGAGUUCUUGGGGUUUUUUUUGUUUUGUUUUUUGCUUGUUUGUUUUGCCCCUACACUGGUUAGAUAAAGAGUAAAGGUUUUCCCUUGACAUUAAGUCUAGUUGAGUCCAACUCUGGGGGAUGGUGCUCAUCUCCAUUUCUAAGACGAAGACGUAGACACCUCCUAGGUCAUGUGGCUGGCAUGACUGCAUAGAGCACUGUUUCCUUCCCACCAAAGUGGUACCAAUUGAUCUACUCACAUUUGCAUGUUUUCAAACUGCUAGGUUGGCAUGGCUGGGGCUAACAGCAGAAGCUCAUUCCAUCCCGCGUAUUUGAACUGCUGACCUUCUGGUUAGCAAGUUCCGCAGCUUAGUGGUUUAACCCGCUGCACCACCGCAGCCCCUAAACUAGGCUAAACUAAGCCAAAAAUACAAUUAAAAUAAUCUGUUCUCUUGCAGUGACUUGAAAUAUAUUUCCGCUUUCCCUUUUUUCCCAAUGAUUAUUAAGUUGCUCUCUUAUAAUCAUCAUCAUCAUCAUAGGCAAUCAUUCAUGGCAGGGUAUGAUUGCCUUCCAGAGAAAAUUACUGCUCUUGGAUGCCUCCAAGAGUGAAAAAUGCAUUGAAAUAAUCAAAUAUUUAAGCGAGAGGCAUCUCAUGCUGGGGGCCUGAAGGCUGACAAAGGAACUCUUGGGUGCUCAGUGCAACUCAAGAGCCAUCCUUUUAGCAAGUUCAAAAAGAAUAAAAGAUAACAUUGAAACUUGUUCGAUUUCCUCCCCGUGUAAUCUUUUAGCCAAAGGUUUGAGCACUAGACCUCUCCCUGUGUCACCUUUUGAAACAAAUCUGCAAGAAAAGUUUGGAGCACCACUUAACAUCCUUCCUCUAUUAGUCCUUUUUCAUCAAUCAGCCUUGUCCGGAAUUUCGAAAUAUACUAAAAUCCCAAAUUGUUCACUAAGUUGGCAUUUGUUUUCUGACGGUUCACUGUGCACCAAUUUUGUUUCAUGAACAAAAUUAAACUAUUGUUUAUGAAAUCAUCUACAGGAUAUGUGUACAUGAAACCCAAAGGAAGUUCGUGAUUAGACUUGGGUCCCAUCUAUCCCAUUUAUUGCAAAACACACUGACAAAUAUUUCAUAGACUCAUAGAAUCAUAGAGUAGAAAGAGACUUUGUGGGCCAUCCAGUUCAACCCCCUGCCAAGAAGCAGGAAAAUUGCAUUCAAAGCACCCCCGACAGAUGGCCAUCCAGCCUCUGCUUAAAAGCCUCCAAAGAAGGAGCCUCCACCACACUCUGGGGCAGACAGUUCCACUGCUGAACAGCUCUCACAGUGAGGAAGUUCUUCCUAAUGUUCAGGUGGAAUCUCCUUUCCUGUAGUUUGAAGCUGUUGUUCCACAUCCAAGUCUCCAGGGCAUCAGAAAACAAGCUCGCUCCCUCCUCCCUAUGACUUCCCCUCACAUAUUGAUACAUAGCCCUCAUCAUGUCUCCUCUCAGCCUUCUCUUCUGCAGGCCAAACAUGCCCAGCUCUUUAAGCCGCUCCUCAUAGGGCUUGUUCUCCAGACUCUUGAUCAUUUUAAUUGCUCCCCUCCUAGAUAUGUUAAACUACAGUAGAGUCUCACUUAUCCAACACUCGCUUAUCCAACGUUCUGGAUUAUCUAACACAUUUUUGUAGCCAAUGUUUUCAAUACAUCAUGAUAUUUUGGUGCUAAAUUCGUAAAUACAGUAAUUACUACGUAGUAUUACUGCAUAUUGAACUACUUUUUCUGUCAAAUUUGUUGUAUAACAUGAUGUUUUGGUGCUUAAUUUGUAAAAUCAUAACCUAAUUUGAUGUUUAAUAGGCGUCUCCUUAAUCUCUCCUUAUUAUCCAACAUAUUCGCUUAUUCAACGUUCUGCCGGCCCAUUUAUGUUGGAUAAGUGAGACUAAUGUAUCAAGACUACACAGCUACCACUAUAUACUACAACUACACAACUAUUAAAAAAACUACAAACUUCCUACUAUCUGAUUAUUGUUAUCCCUCCUUAGUCUUUUCCUUUGAACAAUAAUGUAAUCAUACUUCUACUUAAAGUAACACUCUACUCAAUCAUGUAUCCCAAAGUUGACAAAUGCUCCCAUUGUUGUUAGGAACAGGUAAAAAAUAGGUCUCAAUUUUUCGUAAAGAUAGUCAGAGAUUUUUCCCUAAUCAGCAUAAUCCCUUUGUCCACCUUGGCUUUUUCAUUGAUCUUCAUAGAUCAUUCUUGUAUUAGGGUUACUCUUUCCUUCCACCUCUGAGAGUUUACAUUUCUUGCAGCACUUAUCAUCCAACUAAAACACAGAUGUGUGCUUUUCAUCUUAAGAACAGUCAAGCACCUUGAGCGCUGAGGAUUAUCUAGGAAGGACUCCCACUGGAGCAUCGCAGCACACCAAAAUACUUGGGAGUCACUCUGGACCGUGCUCUGACUUACAGAAGCACUGCUUGACUAUCAAGCAAAAAGUGGGUGCUAGAAAUAAUAUCAUAUGAAAACUGACUGGCACAACCUGAGGAUCACAACCAGAUACAGUGAAGACAUCUGCCAUUGCGUUUUGCUACUCUGCUGCUGAAUACACAUGCCCAGUGUGCCCCACAUGUGCCCCAUAUGUCCCCACUCACUCACUGACCCCUCUGCUGAGCUCCACCAGAGCGGUCGCCCUGCCCAGUGCCGCCUGCAACUUGGCCUCCUUCCCGCUCAGUCCCGGCUCUGCCUGGACGUCACUGGUCUGAUCCUCCGGAUCCUGGGGGGCCCUCUCCCCCUCCCCCUCUGUACACACCGGUGGCAGUCGCAGCAGCGGAGGAAGCAGAAAAGGUGGCUGGGAAGGAGAUGGGGAGGUGGUAAGUUGCCCUGAGUCCCCUUUUUCAUUCAAGGUGAGAUACAAAGGGUGGGAUAUAAAUGUCGCGCCUAUAUAUAUAUAUAUAUAUAUAUAUAUAUAUAUCCCAAUUAAUAUCUGGAUCCCGUUUGAGCUUCCCCGUCGGGAAAAAGGACGUCUCAUAGGCCCGUACAGGCCCCUCAAAGGGGGUCAGAAGGUACUUCUCCACACCGCAUGCCUCUUCAGAUUCUGAGCUGCUUGCCUCUUAUGGUGAAAAGUUAGGGAAGACAUCUUUCCACCAUGUCUCCUGUAUCAAUUUAAUGAUAUAAUGAU
rnacentral:lncRNA from 1 species